rnacentral:lncRNA from 1 species
GCCUUCCCUCAAAAUCAAAAUAAAAGGGACUGGCAUUGUAGUUCAGUGGGAAAACACUCCUAGGUUCAACCUCCUGCAUCAAAAAGUAAAAUAGAAUAACAAAAUAAAAAAUAAAUGAAAGGCCCAAUAAUUCCAUUGAACAGACAAGAAUGAUAAGGGGGCAGUUGGAGCCAUCCCUCCGCUUAGUCAGUUUGGACAACUAUAGUAAAAUGCCAAAGACUGGGUGACUUACAACUAUAGAAAUUUGUUUCUCUUAGUUCUGAAGUUUGGAAAGCCAAGAUCAGAGGGCCAGCAUGGUUGGUUUUUUGAUUGUAGACUGCUGACUUCACCUUGUAACCUCACAUGGUGCACAGAAGGUGAGAAAACACUCUGGGGUAUCUAAUAUAACGACAUUAAUUUCAUUCAUGGGGGUUCUACCCUAGUGACAUAAUUACCUCCCGAGGGCCCCACCUCUGGUAACCAUCACAUUGAGGGUUAGGUUUUCAACUUAUGAAUUUAAGGAGAUACCAGCUGUCAGACUGUAACAUCUCUGUUGAUACCAUAUUAAUUUGUUUUCUGCUAGAGGUUCUUUCUUAUGGUUUCUAAUUAUUUCAGUAAAAUUAAAAUGUCAAUUUUUUUCAGUAGCAUUGAUAAUUAAGAAUCUAUGUGAAGCUCAUGUACUUUAGCAGUAUUCUGCUAACAGAAGCAAAAAUUGAUGAAAGUGAUGCCACAAUAUCAGUGGUCUAAGACAACUGAAGUUUAUUGUCUGGAAGCUGAAAGUCUAAAAUCAAGAUGUCCACAGGGCCAUGCUUCCUUUGAAAUCUAUAAGGAAGAUCUUUCUCACCUCUUCUAGCUUCUGGUGUUUACCAACAGUCUACUGCAUUCUUUAGGUUGAAGAUGUAUCACUCCAAUCUCUGCCUCUGUUGUCACAUGGGGUGUCCUCCCUCCAUGUCUCUCUCCUCUUCUCCACCCUACUCCACUGUGAUUUCAUCUUAACUAAUUACAUUUGCAACCACUCUAUUUCCAAAUGAGGUCACAUUCUGAAGUACUAGCAGUUAGAACUUCAACCUGUAAUUUGGGGGUGACAUAGUUUAACUCAUAACAACCUCCAUGGCUUUUCUUUUUAUAAAUUACUCAGAACUCCAUGGAAAUUUAAAAUUCCUUUGUGAAUGGGAGAGUUACUUAUGAUUGUUGGAAGAAUAAAGGCGAUUUCCUUGUUGGUUAUUAAUAAAGUGAUUUUAGUGUUAUGGUCAGAUUUCCAAUGUCAUUAUAUUUGAACUUGAAGCCACUAUAGUAUCCAUGAUUUCCAUGUUUUCAUUUCUGACUGUGAGUGCUUUAAUGAAAAGAGGGAAUUGGUAAAACUCCAUAUCUUACUGAACAAUCAUGUUGUGUUCUUGAUAGAACAAGGCAAGGGAUAGUUGUGUUUUGAAUCUGAGGAGAACAAUUCAGGAUUUCCUGUGCCAAUGACUUGAAAUGAAAACCAGUCUUUACACAUGUCCUUUCAGUGUGCAAAGGGCAGGGACUGGGAUUUAAAAUUCAACAGCUAAUAGUCAGAAAAACAAAACCAAAAAAACUCACUUGUAAUAGUAGAAUGUUGCCAUUGGAAAGUUUUUAAUAAUCUGAGCCAUUUUUAUUUCUUACGUGGAACACAUUUCUAGAAGUAGAGAGAAAAGACUCAUCUCUCAUGUCCUCAGUCUUUCCCUCCUUUGAGAUUAUAUCUGGACUAUUUUUGGAAGAGCUCUCUCUGGUUAUCUCAUGAUGAUGCCACCAGAAAUGCAAAGAUGAUGAAGAAUCAUGUGUGUAUUUUCAUGAAAGCCCCAAAUGCAGUUGCUCAUACCUGGAGCUCAUUGUUGAUGCUUCCUUCUUUCCCCCACAGCCAAGUAUAUAUCAAACACAUUUGAUCUGACCUCCUAAAUUCUUCUUCCUUCUAUACUCCACCUCCAUCUCCAUCAACACCCCUUAUCCAAGCCACAUGCAUCUCUCACUGGUUUCCUGGUAUCUACUUUAGUCCAUUCAAUUUAGUUCCAGCAGCUAGAGUGAUUCUUGUAAAAGGUAUGGCUUUUUCUGAAUUCAGUUUUAAAUCUGAAUAAAACCACAAGGCCCUCUAUGACUUCCAUUCUCCUGCCCCUCCAGCCUCCUCUCUAAGCAUCCUCACCUCUAGUCCUUAGUUUGUGCUGAGAACACACCCAACUCCCAUUUCGGCACCUACUCACACUGUACUGCCCCGAGGGACCUCUUCCUCCAAACUUUACUUAGCUAAUUCCUGCUUAUCCUACAGGGAGAGGUUAAAUGUCUUUUAGAGAAGUCAGUAUAUGAGCUGCAGUUGGAAGUGAGGUGGUCUGGAAGAGAAGUCAAAAGAGUUGGGAAGGGUAUGAGUAAGCACACAGUCAAGAGAGACUGGAAUAGAAAAGUCUCAAUCAGCAAGGAAGGAACAGAAAAUAAACUACUUCACAGCUAAAGAGCCCACAAAAUACCUAUGACCACUCUAGGAAAUUAUUAUUUGAAAUUAUUAUUUGCAUGCUAUAUAAUCAAAUGAAGAGAUGGAGAGGAGGAAUAAUAAAGAUGAUUGAGUACAAUAUUCAAAAGAAAGUUGAAAAUGUAUUCCAGCAUAUUGAUUCUUCUUCUAUGAAGCAUGUUUAAAAAAUGCAUUUCAUGGCUGUGGUUGUGGCUCAGUGGUAGCGCACUUGCCUGGCAUGUGUGAGGCACUGGGUUCGAUUCUCAGCACCAUGUAAAAUAAAUAAAGGUCUAUC